rnacentral:rRNA from 1 species
AUGAUGACUCUCGGCAACGGAUAUCUCGGCUCUCGCAUCGAUGAAGAACGUAGCGAAAUGCGAUACCUGGUGUGAAUUGCAGAAUCCCGUGAACCACCGAGUCUUUGAACGCAAGUUGCGCCCGAGGUCACCCGGCCGAGGGCACGCCUGCCUGGGCGUCACGC